UGCCAGAUGAGUGCCCAAUAGGUGCCCAAUAGAUGCCCAAUAGAUGCCCAAUAGAUGCCAGAUGAGUGCCCAAUAGGUGCCCAAUAGAUGCCCAAUAGAUGCCAGAUGAGUGCCCAAUAGAUGCCAGAUGAGUGCCCAAUAGAUGCCCAAUAGGUGCCCAAUAGGUGCCAGAUGAGUGCCCAAUAGAUGCCCAAUAGAUGCCAGAUGAGUGCCCAAUAGAUG